ACCUAGGUGGCUCAGUCGGUUGAGCAUCUGACUUUGGCUCAGGUCGUGAUCUCCUGGUUUGUGGGUUCAAGUCCUGCAAUAGGCU
rnacentral:tRNA from 1 species